GAGAUGUUGGUUAAGUCCGCACGAGCGCAACCCUACUCUUUAGUUUGUCCAUCAUUGAGUUGGGCACUCUAAAGAGACUGCCGGUGUCAAACCGGAGAAGUGGGGAUGACGUCAAGUCCUCAUGGCCUUUAUGACCAGGGCUACACACGUACUACAAUGGCCGGUACAAAGGGCAGCGACACAGCGAUGUGAAGCCAAUCCCGAAAAGCCGGUCUCAGUCCGGAUUGGAGUCUGCAACUCGACUCCAUGAAGUUGGAAUCGCUAGUAAUCGCGGAUCAGCAUGCCGCGGUGAAUACGUUCCCGGGCCUU
rnacentral:rRNA from 1 species